CUCUAGCCGACGAGUCCCAAAUAGGACGAAACGCGCGUCCUGGAU
rnacentral:hammerhead_ribozyme from 1 species